rnacentral:pre_miRNA from 7 species
UCUCUGAGAACUGGGGUAGGCCACAAAUCCCGGAAGAGCCCCCACAUGUAAGACCCCUCAAAGCUGGGCCUCUGCUCAAGUCUCUGGAUGAGCUGGCCAGCACUCCAAUGACUCGAGAGAAA